AUUGAACGCUGGCGGAAUGCUUUACACAUGCAAGUCGAACGGCAGCACGGACUUCGGUCUGGUGGCGAGUGGCGAACGGGUGAGUAAUGUAUCGGAACGUGCCCAAUCGUGGGGGAUAACGUAGUGAAAAUUACGCUAAUACCGCAUACGAUCUAUGGAUGAAAGCGGGGGAUCGCAAGACCUCGCGCGAUUGGAGCGGCCGAUAUCAGAUUAGGUAGUUGGUGGGGUAAAGGCCCACCAAGCCAACGAUCUGUAGCUGGUCUGAGAGGACGACCAGCCACACUGGAACUGAGACAGUGUCCAGACUCCUACGGGGGGCAGCAGUGGGGAAUUUUGGACAAUGGGCGAAAGGCUGAUCCAGCCACUCCGCGUGCAGGAUGAAGGCCCUCGGGUUGUAAACUGCUUUUGUACAGAACGAAAAGGUUUCUACUAAUACUAGGAGCUCAUGGCGGUACUGUAAGAAUAAGCACCGGCUAACUACGUGCCAGCCGCCGCCGUAA
rnacentral:rRNA from 1 species